UACGAAGGGGGCUAGCGUUGCUCGGAAUUACUGGGCGUAAAGGGCGCGUAGGCGGCACUGUUAGUCAGGCGUGAAAGUCCUGGGCUCAACCUGGGAACUGCGCUUGAUACGGCAGAGCUAGAGGAUGGAAGAGGCGCGCGGAAUUCCCAGUGUAGAGGUGAAAUUCGUAGAUAUUGGGAAGAACACCGGUGGCGAAGGCGGCGAGCUGGUCCAUUACUGACGCUGAGGCGCGACAGCGUGGGGAGCAAACAGG
rnacentral:rRNA from 1 species